AUCUUUUUGUGGUUCAUAAGCAUGAUGAUUGGAAGGAGACAUGCCUCCCUCAAACUCUGGUACAAUAUCAGCACAUUACCCCCUGACA
ensembl:snoRNA